UCUGGGUGCUGCAUAAAUCACAUCUACUAUAUCAAAUGGACACAGCUCAAUUCCUAGACUGUAAGAUCCAAAAGGCUCGUUGGGAUAAUUUAUUUUGCUUUCUGCACACCUGCAGUCAGAAAUUUUCUCCAGAGAAGCACAGAAUUACAGGAAGAAGUGGAUUUGGAGCAGAGAGUGCUUGUGGCUGUAGAAGCUGUUAAGAGCUGUUGUAAGCACUCCCAAAGGUUAACCAGGAUGAACCACCUCAGUGUCACGGUUUCUCUUCAAAGGACAAGCAUCCUGCAGACCCUCUGCUGAACUCACACCAAAAUUGAUGCAGUACCCUGGAUACGAUUCAUUGAGUACUGAGAGGACAGGAAUAAUCAUGUCUGUCAACCUACUGGCUGUACUUCUGUUCAUACAGCCUAGGAUGUUUUUGGCCCUUCUGCUGGCAGGGCUCAGCUAACUGACCAUCAGGACCCUGAGAACCUUUUCUGCAGGGCUUCUCCCUAGUCAGUGUCCACCCAGCCUGGAUUGCUGUGAGAGCUGAGUAUGUUUGUACAUAAUUAGUUAUCCUCUUGUGCCUUUAGGAUGGCAGUCUAUGGCAAACCUUAUGCUUUUUUACCUUUUUUAUUUUUUUUUCCUAGAAUAGCUAAUCUUAGAUUUGGCCUAUUUGUU